CCAUGGUCAGCUGAGUUGGUAGAGCGCUCCACUGGAAAUGGAGAGGUCCCGUGUUCGAUUCCCGGACCAAGCA
rnacentral:tRNA from 2 species